rnacentral:lncRNA from 10 species
CUCAAGCUAUCCUCCUGCCUUGGCCUCCCAAAGUGCUGGGAGCCACUGUGCCUGGCCUAGUUUUUUUAGAGACAGGGUCUCACAGUCUUGCCCAGGCUGGAGUGCAGUAGUGUGAAGCUAGCUCAUUGCAGACUUGAACUACUGGACUCAAGUGAUCCUCCUGCUUCAGCGUAUUGAAUAGCUAGGAUUGUACUUGUGUGGCACCACAUCUGACUAAUUUUAAAAAUUUGUAUAGAGACAGGAUCUUGCUACAUUGCCCAGGCUGGUCAUGAACUCUUUGCCUCAAGCAGUCCUCUUGCCUCAGCCUUCCAAAGUGCUGGUAUUAUAGUUGUGAGCCACUGUGCCCUGCCAAGUCUCUUUUAAUAUUGAGGUUCUGAUCCCUGUGUGUGGAGAGAUUGAGAAUAGAAUCCGGCACUAUCACCGGAAUGUUCCAGAACUUCCAGCAUUGGUCAGAAGGAGCUGUUUCCAGAUUCAGCUCAAAAGUCAUAUUCUCCA